rnacentral:rRNA from 1 species
AUGUUAUCUAAAUUAUCACGAUACUCAACAUUUUCUUUAGUCGCCAGACAAUCAGUGGCUUUGGAGGUACAACAGCUUACCAGCUUGUAUACCAUAUCGAUCUCUUCACCGCCCGUGUACUAUGUGAUGUCAUUGGCAUACCACCCAACUGAUCUUGGAGGCCAGUUUGUACGCACUGCAGACAGUGUGCGCGUCUUUUCGUGGUGCCAAGCAAGAGCAUUGGUACCACAGUUAGGAGUUCAAUCUGGCUCAUGGCGUCUAGUACAUCAUAGUCAUGGGCUCAUGGCUGAUAUUGUUGGGUUGAUCUCUCUCCCGUUCGAACUUAACAGGUCGAACGGGCCCCUGACUCGCGCCCUGAUCGGGGCGCCAAACCAAACCAUGGUUGGUGGGCCCCUGUCGCCAGCGCAAUAUAAAGAGGUGGGGAGCCGGGGCACGCAUCACGAGGUUGACCAUGCGACACACUCCCCACCGACACUCCCUACCGAUCUAGGGUUUGCGCUAGGCCGACGGGAAGCUCCACCGCCGCCACCUCGCCCACACUCCGUCAUCACCAUGGUCGGCGCUGGAUCGAGCUCGUCAGCACCAGCAGAAGGAGGCUUUCACUUGAUGAGUUGCCUAAAAGAUGUUCCGACACUCAGAGGUGACAAUCACACUGAGUGGAGGAAGAGAGUUGACCUGGCAUUUGUCCUUGCUGACCUGGACUGGGUUGUGGAUGAACCACAGCCGGUCAGACCUACAGAGCUAGUAAGAGAGGCCACUGAUGAUGAUGUUGCGUGGGCUAAAAAGAGGGGGGAUUAUGCUCCUUUGGAGAUGUCAUACAUCAUGGAAAACCAAAAGUGGGUCAAUGCAAAGAAAAAGUGCAUGGCAUUUAUAAAGAAUACAAUUGUGAGCACCAUUGUGGGCUCCAUUGCAGAGUGCACUUCCGCAGGGGAGUUGCUUACAAAGAUAAAGAGCCAGUUCACUGGCUCUUCAAAGAUAUAUGCCACCCAGGUGUUAGAGCAACUGGUGACAGAACGCUACACAGGUGGUAGUCAUGGAAUAAGAGAGCACAUCCUCAGGAUGAGCAAUAUGACAGCAAAGCUAAAGCCCAUGGAUGAGGAUCUGGAGAUCAAACCAAAGCUCCUGGUCCACCUGGUCAUGGCUUCACUGCCAAAGGAGUUUGAAACUUUUGUUGUAAACUACAAUAUGUCACCUGGAACAUGGGACAUUGAAAAGAGAAUAGCAAUGUGUGUCCAAGAAGAGGACAAACUCAAAGCCUCACAUGGUGGUUCACUCAACUAUGUGAAGGGUCACAAGAAAAAGAAUUACAAUCAAAACAACAAAAGUUGUCCUUCAAAGUCACAAGGAAAAGCUCCCUAUCAGCAUCAGCGUCAGCAACAGCCUUUCCCAGUGGACAAAGACACUUGUGUCCACUUUAAGAAGACCGGGCAUUACAAGAAAGACUGCCCUAUUUGGCUGAAGUCCUUAAUGGCAAAGCAAGGGAUUCCAUUCGACCCGGACUACGCUAAGAAGAGAAAGAGGAAUUGA